AGUCGCGUGUCCGAGUGGUUAGGAAGAGGUCUGCAAAACCUUUUACGGUAGUUCGAAUCUACCCGCGACUU
rnacentral:tRNA from 1 species